GACUUGCGUGUUUAGAGUACAGAAGUAAUCUGAUGAAAAUUAUGAUAGUAACUCACAAGAUUUUAAUGAACAUCAAGAAUUAAAAAAGUCUUGUCUGCAGACACCUGCCUCUGUAUUAAACAAAAGUAAAACGAGAUUGGAAAAAGUGAUCAUAAUUACCUCUGUGAUUAAGGUGAAGGGAGUAGCAGCAAAAAGAGAAGUA